rnacentral:rRNA from 1 species
UGGGGAAUAUUGCACAAUGGGCGCAAGCCUGAUGCAGCCAUGCCGCGUGUGUGAAGAAGGCCUUCGGGUUGUAAAGCACUUUCAGCGAGGAGGAAGGGUAGUGUGUUAAUAGCACAUUGCAUUGACGUUACUCGCAGAAGAAGCACCGGCUAACUCCGUGCCAGCAGCCGCGGUAAUACGGAGGGUGCAAGCGUUAAUCGGAAUUACUGGGCGUAAAGCGCACGCAGGCGGUUUGUUAAGUCAGAUGUGAAAUCCCCGCGCUUAACGUGGGAACUGCAUUUGAAACUGGCAAGCUAGAGUCUUGUAGAGGGGGGUAGAAUUCCAGGUGUAGCGGUGAAAUUCGUAGAGAUCUGGAGGAAUACCGGUGGCGAAGGCGGCCCCCUGGACAAAGACUGACGCUCAGGUGCGAAAGCGUGGGGAGCAAACA